GACGAACGCUGGCGGCGUGCUUAACACAUGCAAGUCGAACGGAAAGGCCCUGCUUUUGUGGUGUUCUCGAUUGGCGAACGGGUGAGUAACACGUGAGUAACCUGCCCUUGACUUUGGUAUAACUUCAGGAAACUGGGGCUAAUACCGGAUAGGAUCUCCUGCUGCAUGGUGGGGGUUGGAAAUUUUCGGCGGUUGGGGAUGGACUCGCGGCUUAUCAGCUUGUUGGUGGGGUAGUGGCUUACCAAGGCUUUGACGGGUAGCCGGCCUGAGAGGGUGACCGGCGACAUUGGGACUGAGAUACGGACCAGACUCCUACGGGAGGCAGCAGUGGGGAAUAUUGCACAAUGGGCGGAAGCCUGAUGAAGCAACGCCGCGUGCGGGAUGACGGCCUUCGGGUUGUAAACAGCUUUAGCCUGUGACGAAGCGUGAGUGACGGUAAUGGGUAAAGAAGCACCGGCUAACUACGUG
rnacentral:rRNA from 1 species